rnacentral:rRNA from 1 species
GAGCGGAUGAACUGAGGGUAGCGGAGAAAUUCCAAUCGAACCUGGAGAUAGCUGGUUCUCUCCGAAAUAGCUUUAGGGCUAGCCUCAAGUGAUGAUUAUUGGAGGUAGAGCACUGUUUGGACGAGGGGCCCCUCUCGGGUUACCGAAUUCAGACAAACUCCGAAUGCCAAUUAAUUUAACUUGGGAGUCAGAACAUGGGGGAUAAGGUCCGUGUUCGAAAGGGAAACAGCCCAGACCACCAGCUAAGGUCCCAAAAUAUAUGUUAAGUG